ACAAGACAGGAGACACUGAAGAAUACAUUUAAACAGGAUAAUGGACACACACAAGUUGCUCAGCUUUCUCUCUCACAAGACUCUAUCUUGCAAAAGUGGACUGUCUUCCAGUUUUCAGAAAUAUUAUCUAUCUCUUCCUCUGAUAUUUUCACCAGUCUUGCAAAAUGGGGGAAGAGAUUUGAAUUGUGUGAAUCCCAUUUCCCUUCAUUUGAUGAUUUCUUUUUAUCAGGAUUGGUGGCAGGAAUUAUCAAUUCUGAUAUUUGUUUGUUAGGAGACCUGGUCAACUUCAAUCUCCCUUCUAUUAUCUGUAUAAGAUUAUUCUUCUAGAAUGCAUUGUUUAUAGAAAUGUUUAGUAAUUUGGACUAAUAGAAUUUUCUCGAUCUCAUUAGUUUUUCUUUGAACUGAAGAAUUAAAAUAUUGAUCUAUUAACAUCACCUAUUAUUAUAUAGAUGCUCCUUAAAUAAUUUAUACAUUUAAGUAUAUUUGCAAUUAUAUCUAAGUAUUUCAAAAAUUUAUAAUGUAAAUAUAUAAUAUACUAAUAUAACAAAUAUAAAAUAUAAUAUAUAUAUAUUGAACUAAGGAAAGAGAACCUUCCCAGUUAAACUGAUAGCUACUGUCCUCAAUUACCUCAAUUGCUGUUUUCACAAGUAUGGAGAAUCUAAUGAUAUCAUGAUUUUUGAUACUUCAAAAUCAUUCAUCCACAUCCAUCCAUUUUUGCCUUCUUCCAACAAGUAUCUGGACACAUUAGGCCAAUUGUUUAGACGGAGUUUCUGUUGACCAUGGUUUACAGCAAAAACCGCGUCUAGACAGCGUUCA
rnacentral:lncRNA from 1 species